ACUUAUGGAUUUGUUUUGAUCAAAGAGAACAUGGCAGGAAUGAGUGGCUCACUCCAAAGGAAGGUAGAAGCUUGUGGAUUUGUUUUGACCAAAAAACAAUUGACAGGAAGUUUAAAAAUGGAAGAGUGUUUUUGGAGCGUGAAGAUCCAGAAAACCAAAUGAGAAAAAAAAAAAAAAAAAAGAGAGCUAGAAGGAAGAUUAAGCCAAAGUUAACGAUCGUUAAAGCGGUGCAAAAGAUCAGUCAUAAUGUGACAAUUGUGUUCAUCAUGGGAAGUCGCAACAAACGUUCAUUGUCGACGAACAUUAGCCGCCCUAUCUGGUUCACGAGCUGAUGACUCGGCUUUGUUCAAGAUGUCUGUUGAAAACGCGCUCAAGCUCAUCAGAGUCUCUAAAAGUGCUUUUUUUGAUGAGAUUCUUUGCGCCAAGAAUUCGAUAGUUGCCUUUAUUAAGGAUGAUAAGGAAGCUAUUGAGUAGGUGGAGGAGUUUAUUACUUGAGCCAUUUCCAAAAUUGCCUCUAAAUGAACAGGGUGGCAACUUGAAAAUUAUGAUGAAUGGUAACCAGAGUACUUGGCUGUGGAUGUUUAAAAGGUCCACCAGAUGUUAGAAUCAGGUUCAAUAUGCUGACUGUCUGUUACUCUUUCUGCUUCACCGAGAUACCCUACCUGACCAAGAAGGUCAACCAUGCAAGAAAGGUGAUCUUCUCUAGGCACAAAGCCAUACUCAUUUACCAUAGAAUUGAAUAUCCAAGUGGCAUCAUCAACUAAAACAGCACCGCUGCAAGCUGAAAGAAGAGUAGUAAAUGUUGCUUGAUCAGGUUUCACCCGACCUGCAUCUUUCAUUGCCUUGAAACAAUGGAUAGCUUCUUUACCUUCUCCAUGCUGUGCAAAAGCAGAAAUGAGGGCAUUCUAAGAGAUUGCGUCCUUUUCAAUCUUCUUAUCAAAUACUCUCAAAGACCAAUUUAAAAUGCCACAUUUUGCAUACAUAAUGAUUAAUGCAUUGCUUAAAGAUGUUUCUAAUGAAAGAUUUUGCCUCAGGAUGUAGCCAUGAAGUUGUUUCCCAUGACUCGAGGAAAAGAUGCUGGCACAAAUACUCAUAGCAAUGCUAAGCGUAUAUGCAUUUGGCCUGAGGUUUGACAUCAAAAGCUUGGAUAAUUGCUCUAACCCCAAAGCUGCGAACCCAUUUAGAAAGAAUCCCAGAUGUAAUGGUUUUCCAGGAGAUCAAAGUUCUUGAAGGACAUUGGAAAUAAUUGAUAGGCAUGAUUCAUCCUCCCAUGCUAAGAGUAUGAAGAAACCAAUGCAUUGGAAACCUGGAUUCUUGAAAUGAGUCCAUUUUUAAACACGAGAGCAUGAAUUAUCUCACCCAUUUCUAGGAAUUCUGAACAUGACAAUAAACUUCCGAAAGUGAACUCUUCGGGUUCAAUCCCUGACCUUUGCAUUUCCGUGUAGAUCCAAAUUGCUGAUAUGCCAGAGCUUCCAUAAGCAUAAAUUGAUACCAUAGUAUUCCGUUACGUAAGAUCUUUCUCCUCCAAUCUCACAAAAAUUAUGUGUGCAGCAUUUUCUUGUAUCUAUGUGUCUCUAUUCAUUGCUUUUAAUAUUGUUACUGACUUUGGUCUACUAACAAGUUUAAUUUACUUUUCUGUUCUUAAGUAACCAGAUAUAGCUCAAUUUCCAGAAUUUUCUUUUGGAUAAGUGAAACGUUUUAUUUAUCCGAAGAGGCAACAAUUGCUGCUAUAGUCACAAACAAAGCUAUACUCAGCAGCAAAAUACGAUCAAACUACCAUGCAAAUAUAGAAACACGUAGACCCUAAGCAGAACACAAAGAAUUAAUUAUAGGGUCUCUUGCGAUGUUUCUAAACCCAGCUAAGAGAGAUUGAAUUAUGUUGGUAAUUGAGCAAUACAAAAUCUAGUAUGAUUUGCUUAAUCCUCCAUGGAGUCUCCAAUUAUGGUUUUAUACUUUUACUAUUUAUAUUGAUUAGAAGUUUCAUUGUAUACCAUGUUACUCGGUUUGUAAAGGAUGUUAAGAAUAACAGAUGCUUUCUGAUCACUUAAAAGGAUAUUGGGUCUCUUCUUUCUGAUAGAGUUUGGUUAUAACUAUCAUUGUU